AUGCCGCUCCACCACAAUUAGGGUUUCUUCUUCUUUGUCUUCGAUAUCUCUGCUACUCCUCCAUGUAAAGAUCUCGGGUCUGGUAACUCAAGUGGCGGCUUGACUUCUAUGUGAGCUCCGGGAAGCGAAAGCCUGACCAGAUUAUUAUUUUCAGGGAUGGUGUGAGUGAAUCACAGUUCAGCUAGGUUCUCAAUAUCGAACUGGACCAAUUUAUCGAGGCUUGCAAGUUUCUUGAUGAUAAAUGGUGCCCAAAGUUUCUGUUGAUCAUUGCUCAAAAGAAUCAUCACACAAAGUUUUUCCAGCCAGGAUCUCCAGAUAACGUUCCACCUGGAACUGUGAUUGAUAACAAGGUGUGCCAUCCUCGGAACAAUGAUUUUUAUAUGUGCGCACAUGCUGGGAUGAUUGUGACUGCUGUUGUUGGGCUCUGGGGAUGGACCGCUGUUUCGCUUUCAGCUUCCUCACUAUUGAUGUUUAUCCGCUGCAGCAGUAAAGAGCCCGGUUAUGUGAAAACAUUUGAAGGGAUUCGAAAUAAUGCUGAUGCUGAGGGUCCUUUGGUGAAAAUUGAUCUGAUCAACUCAGCUAAUUGGACUGGAAUAAUUGGUCUCAGCUCUGUCCUACUUGCAAGAUUGGAGGAUGCGGGCUAUGCCGUUGGAGUACGAGUUUUGGAACUGCUGUGCCACAGGGAGAAGGUAGUGUUUUGCAGUUGGUGUAUAGUUGAAUUUUGACAUGGCCUAAUAGUCGAAUGCUCGCUUUGUCGUUAAAUAGCCGAAAUAAAUCAAACCUGAUAUUUCUAUAUGCAUAUUCAUGCUUGCUGUCAGGUUUUGUUAAGAAAUGAAUGUUUUUGUUUUGCAUUUCUUGUGCCUUGAUAUGAACAAAAGGAGGUUAUAUUAGUUGAGAAUCAUCUAGAUAUUGAAGUAGAAAAAAAGUUGCUAUUUCAAAAAAAAAGAAAAAAAAAAGAAAUGUGUUUUAGGUGUUAUUAGUUAGUCAUGGUACUAAAAAGUUCAAUUUUUCUGCUAUAAUUUUUUUUCUGCUAUAUCCUUUUUUUUCUAUGGGUUCAAAAUAUAAAAUGAACUGUACUGCUUUGUUUUCAUGUAUUAAUGACCCUGGAUGUUAACAAUUACUGAACCAAGUAAAUAUUGUCUUAAAUUGAUUGUUUCCUGCUAUAAUUUACAGCAUGUAUGGUUAGUGAUCCAAACAUUUAUAUGUAUAUUCAUGCUAUAUUAUGCAUAUAUAAUUCUAUAGAGGUGGAAACAGACUUUUUUGGUUGUGUAAUGGGUCAAAAUGGGUAAUAUGGAUUGAAACUAUUCAUGAUGGGUUGGUUCCGAUAAUCGACGCCGCCACAUUAGAUAUUCUGCUUUUGUGCUCUACGACUAUCUUCAAGGUAUGUUUCUAGCUCCGUUAAUCAACAUUGAUUUCAACUAACAAUUUAAUUAAGGUAUUCUCUGCUUUUGAUUGUAAAUCUGUUUGUACGCAUAUACUUAUCGAAUUUGAUGCUGUCUUGGGGCUGUUUUGUGUUGAUUCGGUGCUUUUUGGGGCUGCAGUUGCACUUUAAAUUGAUAGGGUUCUGGUACUCGGAGGAACCAAUUAAUGGCAGCUCAAUCCUCAUUCAGCAUUCAAACGCUCAUUUUAUGGACCUAUGAGAUCUACGUGGUAAUAGAUUAUCUGGUCAAAUUCCAGAUGAGAUUGGUGAUUGCAAGACCCUCAAGAACCUGGAUCUAUCAUUCAAUAUGUUAGCUGGAGACAUCCCGUUUUUGGUAUCGAAGUUAAAACAGCUUGAGCUCUUUCUUGAAAGACAAUUAAUUAACCGGUCUGAUCCCUACAACGUUAUCACAGAUUCCUAAUUUGAAGAUUUUCUAUCUUAGGGACUUGGCACAAAAUCGGCUAAACGGUGAAAUCCCGAGGCUUAUGUACUGGAGUGAAGUGUUGCAGUAUCUAUAACUUUCUAAAGCUUGUAUCUUUAAAGUAGGUUCGGGAUUUACGAGCUUCUCUUGAUAACAGAGAGGAGCUUGGAAUGCCAGAUGGGGUUCUGGUCAACGGCAGGGGACCGUUUAAGUAUAGUUCCGUUGUUCCGGAUGGCAUUAACCAUACAACGCUUAACGUUGAUCCAGUCUUACUCUUUUCUGGUUAAUAUGGAUCAAAACGCAAGUAGCGAUUUUUACGUUGUAGCAAGCCCGAGAUUUGUUAAUGAAUCAGUUUGGCAAUGCGUCACAGGCGUUGCUAUUUUGCACUAUUCAAACUCCGAAGGACAUGCCUCGGGUCCUCUACCCGACGCCCCAAACGAAGUAUAUGAUCGUUCAUUUGCAUUGAAUCAAGCCAUGUCCAUCAGGCGUUGCUAUUUUGCACUAUUCAAACUCCGAAGGACAUGCCUCGGGUCCUCUACCCGACGCCCCAAACGAAGUAUAUGAUCGUUCAUUUGCAUUGAAUCAAGCCAUGUCCAUCAGGGGUUUAUUGAACCAAAGGAGGCACAAAAGAAAGUUGCGAGCUUUCCAUUUCAUGGACAAACUGCAGAUCUGAAACAUGGUAGUCUUAUGAUUGAAACUUGGGUCUAACAUGCGCCAUUGGUGAUGGUUUGAGGCUUCUGUGAACCUUACAAGAUAAAAAAAAUAUGCAUCCAAGAAGCAGCUUUUGUUCUCAGUGUUUGAAUAAAUGGAUGGUUAUUUAAUAAAAACAACGAUUUCUAUUUAGUUCCAUUUCCCGCAGUGAUGGUGGUGUUUCUAGGGAUGAGCAAAUGGUAAUGGUUCGGAACCGGUACCGAAUUUCCGAACAGCUUGUCGGGUCAGAUAUACUGUGCCUGUGGUCAGAUAUACUUGUAUUAGAUGAAUAUAGAACAGAGUUGGAGCAAGGUGAUUUCUAUGCCCGUGGUCUUGCUAUCAUGAGAGUUAUGCUUAAGGUAAAGACGGGUCGUUUGGGUUCAUCAAAAGUCCUUUUGUCUAAACGGAUCUACAAGGAAAUGGCAAUUAAAGGCAAGUAUACAAGAGCGAAAUGACGCAUUACAAAGUGGAGGCGAGUUUCAGCUGGGAAGUAGAAAGUUCGACAUUUCCGUCCACAUUAUUGGUUGCUUCAUCAAUAAGAACGUCAUUGUGAAUUUUGAUAAAACACCUGUUGGAGGUGAACAACGUAAGAAAGUGACGCGAUAGAUUACUGAUAGUGUGGAUUUGAAGUGUGGGAUCACCAAUCCAGCUCAGAAGGCUUAUUUUUCCAAGUUUUCGGGUUGAGUUUGAAAUUGUUUGAUGUUUUAUAUCAUCUAACACUAAGAUUGAUUCAUAUACCAUUAAAGAUGCUUAGAGAUGUUGUAUGGGGUGUGUAAUGAAUUGUAACUUUUGGUGCAAAUAUCAUUUCUGGUGAUGUACAAAUCAAAUUGAAAAUUGAAAGUUUGAGGUUUGGAUUGGAUUGAUUUUUAAGCAAA